UACGUAGGAGGCAAGCGUUGUCCGGAAUCACUGGGCGUAAAGGGCGCGUAGGCGGCCUGAUAAGUAGGGGGUGAAAUCCUGCGGCUUAACCGCAGGGCUGCCUUCUAAACUGUCGGGCUAGAGCACGGUAGAGGCAGAUGGAAUUCCCGGUGUAGCGGUGGAAUGCGUAGAGAUCGGGAAGAACAUCAGUGGCGAAGGCGGUCUGCUGGGCCGUUGCUGACGCUGAGGCGCGACAGCGUGGGGAGCAAACAGG
rnacentral:rRNA from 1 species